rnacentral:tRNA from 1 species
GCGCCUGUGGCUCAAAUGGUACGGCGCUGGCCCCAUAUGCCAGAGGUGGUGGGUUCAAAUCCAGCCCAGGCCU